rnacentral:rRNA from 1 species
GAUGAACGCUGGCGGCGUGCCUAAUACAUGCAAGUCGAGCGAACAGACGAGGAGCUUGCUCCUCUGACGUUAGCGGCGGACGGGUGAGUAACACGUGGAUAACCUACCUAUAAGACUGGGAUAACUUCGGGAAACCGGAGCUAAUACCGGAUAAUAUAUUGAACCGCAUGGUUCAAUAGUGAAAGACGGUUUUGCUGUCACUUAUAGAUGGAUCCGCGCCGCAUUAGCUAGUUGGUAAGGUAACGGCUUACCCAGGCAACGAUGCGUAGCCGACCUGAGAGGGUGAUCGGCCACACUGGAACUGAGACACGGUCCAGACUCCUACGGGAGGCAGCAGUAGGGAAUCUUCCGCAAUGGGCGAAAGCUUGACGGAGCAACGCCGCGUGAGUGAUGAAGGUCUUCGGAUCGUAAAACUCUGUUAUUAGGGAAGAACAAAUGUGUAAGUAACUAUGCACGUCUUGACGGUACCUAAUCAGAAAGCCACGGCUAACUACGUG